UACGAAGGGGGCUAGCGUUGUUCGGAAUCACUGGGCGUAAAGCGCGCGCAGGCGGCAUGGCAAGUAAGGUGUGAAAUCUCCCUGCCUAACGGGGAGGGUGCACUUUAGACUGCCAAGCUAGAGGACGGUAGAGGGGGUAGAAUUGCUGGUGUAGCGGUGAAAUGCGUAGAGAUCAGCAGGAAUACCCGUGGCGAAGGCGGCCCCUGGGCCGAACCUGACGCUGAGGCGCGAAGGCUAGGGGAGCGAACGGG
rnacentral:rRNA from 1 species